UACGGGGGGGCAAGCGUUGUUCGGAAUUACUGGGUCGGUAAAGGGCUCGUAUGGCGGCCAACUAAGUCGGAAUGUGAAAUCCCCAAGCUUAACUUGGGAACUGCAUCCGAUACUGGAUGGCUUGAAUCCGGGAGAGGAUGCAGAAUUCCAGGUGUAGCGGUGAAAUGACGUAGAUAUCUGGAGGAAUACCGGUGGCGAAGGCGGCAUCCUGGACCGG
rnacentral:rRNA from 1 species